UUGUAUGCCGGAAGGGAUAAAUCUGGGGCUGAGUACAAGCAAAACAAGACCAAAGGAAGCUACCUGAGCAGGUAUUCCAGAUACUCAUGUCAUACACCAAGGUUGUACCAGUGCCCCUUUCUCUGUGACACAUCCAUCCACUGGAAACUUUCGUACAACUAGCUGAAAGAAGAGAAACAUCCUAUUUCAUGUCACUGGAGCCCUAAUGAUCGCAGCCAUUUCAGGAAAUGCCAUCAAUUACAGUGAGGAGCUCAUUCAGAAGUGAAAGAUGAGUUCCAUUCUCUGUUACUUAGAGGUAUUACAAAGCUCAAAUCUGAGAAAACCUUGUCUACCAUCAACCCUGACCUACAGAGGAGAGGCACCCCCAAGCUUAUUAGUGAUCCUGUCUCCGUCUUAUUGGCACAUCCUGAUGGCCUUGAUCUCUAGUUCUUCCUGUGGAGCAUAACCAUAUGGGUGGAUAUCCUCCUCCACUGAAUGCAAACUAUUAAGUAAUGAAAAGACAGCACUCCAAGCAAUAUAGAUUUAUAGGCCAACCUGGCAAUCAAGGGUAACUGACAUGAAAAUGGAUUGCUUCACAUUUUAAUUACAAAGAUACUCUUCAGUACCAUAAAUUGAAGAAAACACUAACUUUUUGUGGCUACUGUAAUUGUCAAAGUAUAAUUACCUGUGUUUUCUCACCUACGUAUUUGAGAUAGAGACAAAACCAAAUGUCAAGGAACUUUCCUCCUGAUUGAUUUUCUACAUGCUUUAUCUCUCAUCCAUCUAGUCCCCAUUUUCUCCUUUCACUGAACACAAUUAUUUCUGGAAAGAGUAUUACACUCAGUAUUCUGCAUUUCAUAUGGCAUUUCAAAGUCCUGAGAAUGACUCUCCGUAGUCUUCUAUGUACUAAUUAAACAUGAACAUGUGGUAAACAACAUGGACUAUUCCAGUGGACAGAAAGCGUCAAGUUAAAAUGUUUAAGUGCCCCAUAUUUUUCUAAGUAUUCUUAUCCAGUUGGUCUGACUGGUCAUUAUCUGUUUUGUAAAACUUCCCAAACAACUCAUCAAUAUUUAAAUAGCUAUCCAAAUUAUAAACUUCAAAUAGCAGAAUCCAAAUGUCAUUUAUGCAUAAUUCAAAAGAACUUUGCUGAAAACAAUCUUUGGAUUACAAUUGCUCUCUAAUCCACCUCUUGAAUUUCUACAUAAGAAUUCAAUGCCAAUGCAAUUCAAAUCAAUUCAUUCAUGGUUGAUGUUAAAACUUCCUUUAAGAGGAUAGUAUGGCAGAAACAAAACUGAAUUUGAACAAGAGGGAAACUGCAGAAGAUAAACAUUUUUUCUGUAGAAAGUUUCCAACUUUUACAUUUUUGUGGUAAUUUUUAACAUUAUAGGUAUAAUUAAAUUAUCACUAAAGUUAUAUCUAUUAAUCCUAAGUGGUUUAAAAUAAUUUCUCUGUUCAAACUGAUGCAGCUCGCUAUUACAAUUUAAUAUAAUUUUUUCAAACUAUAAUUGAUUUCUAAGACUAGUAAAAUUUUUGAGCUACCAUUAACCCCAAAAUAUCUGGAAAAAGAAAAUCAUCAUAGGUAACUCCUGAUGACUCCUACCUCUUUCAGUCACAUACUUAGCAUUAUCUGCUGUACAGGUUUAAAGAAUGUUGGUCACAGGAUUGAAGUGAAUAUUUCAUUUAUGUGUAGCCAAAAUAUUAUCAUAUGAAGCCCAAAAGAAGAGUAAAAUACAUCCUUGUGAUAUUAUUAACAUGACUUUGUGCCAGACAAAGCAUAGUUACUCUACAGAUGGAUUAUGAAUAGAGAAAAAGUGUGUAGUUGAAUUCUUUGGAAUUAUGGACUAUAUUCCAUAAAUCCCAGAUGGAGUCACUAUGAUUAAUGUUACCUCAAUGAAUACAAAAUGAAUAAAUAAUUAUCCUCCACUUACUGUAAAG